CCUACGGGAGGCAGCAGUGGGGAAUAUUGCACAAUGGGCGCAAGCCUGAUGCAGCCAUGCCGCGUGUGUGAAGAAGGCCUUCGGGUUGUAAAGCACUUUCAGCGGGGAGGAAGGCGUUAAGGUUAAUAACCUUGGCGAUUGACGUUACCCGCAGAAGAAGCACCGGCUAACUCCGUGCCAGCAGCCGCGGUAAUACGGAGGGUGCAAGCGUUAAUCGGAAUUACCGGGCGUAAAGCGCACGCAGGCGGUCUGUCAAGUCGGAUGUGAAAUCCCCGGGCUCAACCUGGGAACUGCAUUCGAAACUGGCAGGCUAGAGUCUUGUAGAGGGGGGUAGAAUUCCAGGUGUAGCGGUGAGAUGCGUAGAGAUCUGGAGGAAUACCGGUGGCGAAGGCGGCCCCCUGGACAAAGACUGACGCUCAGGUGCGAAAGCGUGGGGAGCAAACAGGAUUAGAUACCCUAGUAGUC
rnacentral:rRNA from 1 species